rnacentral:rRNA from 1 species
UCCUACGGGAGGCAGCAGUGGGGAAUAUUGCGCAAUGGACGAAAGUCUGACGCAGCGACGCCGCGUGGAGGAUGAAGGUUUUCGGAUCGUAAACUCCUGUCAAGAGGGAAGAAACCUAUCAUGAAUAAUACUUAUGGUAAUUGACGGUACCUCUAGAGGAAGCACCGGCUAAUUCAGUGCCAGCAGCCGCGGUAAUACUGAAGGUGCAAGCGUUAAUCGGAAUCACUGGGCGUAAAGCGCUCGUAGGUGGCUUUGUAAGUCAGGUGUGAAAGCCCACGGCUCAACCGUGGAAUUGCACUUGAUACUGCAUCGCUAGAGUAUAGGAGAGGGAAGUGGAAUUUCUGGUGUAGGAGUGAAAUCCGUAGAGAUCAGAAGGAACACCCGUGGCGAAGGCGACUUCCUGGACUAUUACUGACACUGAGGAGCGAAAGCGUGGGGAGCAAACAGGAUUAGAUACCCUGGUAGUCCACGCCGUAAACGAUGGGUACUAGGUGUUGGGGGCUUGACCCUCGGUGCCGUAGUUAACGCGUUAAGUACCCCGCCUGGGGAGUACGGUCGCAAGGCUGAAACUCAAAGAAAUUGACGGGGGCCCGCACAAGCGGUGGAGUAUGUGGUUUAAUUCGAUGCAACGCGAAGAACCUUACCCAGGCUUGACAUCCUGCGAAUGCCCAAGAAAUUAGGCAGUGCCCUUCGGGGAAUGCAGUGACAGGUGCUGCAUGGCUGUCGUCAGCUCGUGCCGUGAGUGUUGGGUAAGUCCCGCACGACGCACCCUAUCCUUAUUGCACAGGUAAUGCUGACACUCUAGAGACUGCCGGUUACCGGAGGAUGUGGAGACGUCAGUACUCUGCCCUACCCUGGCGCACACCUCAUAAAGGU